AUACUAUCCAUUACGUAUUUAAAUUCCGAGCACAUAUAUAUAUAUAUAUAUAUAUAUAUAUAUAUAUAUAUAUAUAUAUAUAUAUAUAUAUAUAUAUAUAUUGUGCUCGGAAUUUAAAUACGUAAUGGAUAGUAU